GCUGCCAGCAAGCGUGCAAAGAAGAGGAGGGGGAGCGAGCGCACGCAGGAGGAGGAGGAGGAGUGAGAGAGGGAGAGGGAGAGAGAGAGUGCAAACAAUGUCAUUCUGUUCAGGAGGCAAUACUGCAGUCAACUUUGCCGCGCCAUGGAAGCACAUCACCAGCGACCAAGAGGCUCAGAGUGAGUGCAGAGAAGUUUUCCUCCUCUCCUGUCAGGGUGCGAUGCCGUCCGAGACCCAUCUGUAGGAGCAGGCUCACACACCAGGUCCGGCUGUUGGUGGUGCGCUGGAACAUGCCUUGACUUGUUGUGCUGCCUGAGAAGAAAAGAGAGCGAGAGAGAGAGCGAGAGAGAGAGAGAGGCAACGACACAGAGAGAGUGAGAGGAGACUCAGUUUGCCUGGGUUAAGAGGAGAGCCCUGCAGCAGCCGUGGACAGACUCCUCUCCAUGUCAACACUCACUGAAGACGAUUGUGGAUGGAGGAGCGCCACUGACGCCUCGACGCUCACUGGGGGCCUGUUGGCAACAGGACCACCCCACCCCCCCAGGUGGGUGAGACCGUUGCCUUCCAGCCACCACCACCACCACCACCACCACAAAGCCGGACAUGAAAAGAGCCGAUCGUCCAUGGUGCCAGACUCACAGGUGGAAGUGCACGGCGAGGAGAAGAGCGAGCGAGAGGGAGGCAGGCGGGGGAACGGAUCUGCUCGGACGCGGGUGCUGUGGGUGUUUCUAUGGCAGUGUCUUAGCUGGUUGUUGUGAGGAGUGAGAACGAAGCAAUCAGCAAGUAUACUGCCGCAGAAAUUCUUCGCAAUAAGAGGCCCAGGGACCGCAGCCAUCACCGGGAGAAAAAACGAGAGGGAGGAAAGAAAAGAAAAAAGACCUAAAUCAGCACUGUAGCAAACAAGGAUCCUGCUGCUACUGUAAGUUUUAACACGUGUGCUGACGCAGUAGAAAAUAACAGGAGCAGAGGACACGUUGGAGAGAGAUUGACCGAGAGCAUGACCCACUUUGUUUACAGCCACUUACAUAUUUACUGUCUGAUCAAUGCAUCAAACUUCUGCCCUCUGGUCGGUAUUUUUAUGAUCCUCUGCUGCCAUCUUGUGUCUGAAACCUCCCAGCAUGCAUUUCUUCAUCAAACACUGCAUCAAUCUGAAAAACCCAUGAUGCGUUUGAAACAACCUGAAAUCCCAGUCAUUAAGAAACUUUUACUUAGUUUACCAUGAUGUGAUUUUUGAUAUAUUUCAGUUGCAGAUGCAUUUUGUUUUCUUUAAACAACUUCCUGUAUGUUACCAAAAUAAAUGGUGAAUAUGUAUUAAUAUAAACCCUGAUGUAUUAGUUGUAGCCUAAUCAUGUAUUCAUGUCACAUAAUCAAACUGUACCACACAACAGAAUAAAUAAAAGUUACAGAGACA